CAUUUUAAGCGGGGUGUCAUUCAGGAUAGCGACACGUUUGCCAACCCCAGACCGCGUUGUUGAAGUGCGAAACCCCGUCCCACCAAAAGAGGAAAGGACAGGAAUGCCACCAUGAGUGCAGGCAUGGCGGCGUUAUCUGGAAUCGUUGCCGAUUGCUGGUUAGUUGUUUUUGUUUUGUCCUUGCUUGUUUUGAUAGUUAUAAGUGCGGGUCUGUGCAAGAAAGCACCCGCCGAAAGAGUCAUGUAUGCGAGCAUGCGCACACGUCUAGUUGCUGUUUGCCCCCCGUUAGGAUUUGCACCACCCGGGAGGUUGGCCGAUAGCUUGUUAAGGCUGCCGGCCGGGUCCUGUUCGUUUAGUAUUUUAUAUCCACCCCUUCACCAGUCGCCCACACACCCGCGGCAUUCCCCCCAGCCUCUUUCAAGGGGAGACGCGCGAAUGUGACAACAGUCGGUGUCGAGUAAGAUAGUGAAGCCAGUUGAGAGCGCUUCCCUGCAUCCCGCCGGAGUUCAUCACAGACACGGUGGAAAAGGGUCGAGCGUGAUGUCACUAGCACACCACCACCACCUAGCUAGCUAGUAGCAUGAUCGGUAGUAGUAGUAGUAGCAGCAUCCCGUCGUUUAUUCCAUCCGUGCA
rnacentral:rRNA from 1 species